UAACAAGGAUGGCCUCAGUAACGGCGAGUGAAGCGGUCACAGCUUAAUCGACAAUCCUUCGCCCUCCUGGGCGUUUGGAAUUGUAGUCUUGGCUUCUGAACGGCGCUGGAUGAUGGGUAAUUCGAUGGAAAUCGAGGUCGUAGAGGGUGACAGCCCCGUGUGUCUGUCGUUCCGGCGUCAUGGUUCAGUGGUCCAUCGAGUAGCGUUCCUUGGGACUGGAGCGUGAAGUGGGUGGUGAUAUCCAUCUAAAGCUAAAUAUUGGCGAGAGACCGAUAGCGAACAAGUACCGUGAGGGAAAGAUGAAAAGCACUUUGGAGAGAGAGUUAAACGUAUGCGAAAUCGUUGGAAGCAAGCGAAUCAGUGGGUUUGGGCACGGCUCUGCGUUUUGACCACUCAGGUAGGCGUGUGCGGUCUUAGAUCGCGCCGCCUGCCCGGCCAGCGGUCGAGCGUGGGGCGAGGUUUUGGUGCCUGGCUUCGGCCAGCCUUCUGAUCCGACCCGUCUUGAAACACGGACCAAGGAGUCUAAUAUGUGUGCGAGUGCUCGGGUGUCAAACCCCUGCGCGUAGGUAACCCAACAACGCGUUAGACCUUCGGGUCGCAUCGCGGGUAGUGUGUUUUUCCCUAACAAGAGCACGUAUGUUGG
rnacentral:rRNA from 1 species